AUGCUUGUUUCGGCAGCACGGAUACUAAAGUUGGCACGAUCCGGAGAAUAUUAGCAUGGCACCUGCGCAAGGAUGAUAUUCAACCCGGUGAGACGUUCCUUAUUUUA